rnacentral:rRNA from 1 species
CCCUUAGAUGUCCGGGGCCGCACGCGCGCUACACUGAAGGAAUCAGCGUGGCUUUCUCCCUGACCCGAAAGGGUUGGGAAACCCGUUGAAUCUCCUUCGUGAUAGGGAUUGGGGCUUGAAAUUGUUCCCCAUGAACGAGGAAUUCCCAGUAAGCGCGAGUCAUAAGCUCGCGUUGAUUACGUCCCUGCCCUUUGUACACACCGCCCGUCGCUACUACCGAUUGAACGGUUUAGUGAGGGCCUCGGAUUGGUCUCGGCCCGCUCUUUCCCGGGCGGCGCCGUUGGUCGAGAAGACGCUCGAACUUGAUCGUUUAGAGGAAGUAAAAGUCGUAACA